UUGAUUGAUAAAGGGAUGUGCUGGCAAAAAUUCCAUUUUUGCAAUGUGCACUCCUGAAAUCUUCAUCCACUUUGUGCACUUUGUAGACAAAGUUGCUUUUUGUGACUUUUGUCUAUGCCUUUUAAUACACAUUCAUCAGUUAUUAAAUAAUUUCUGACUAGCUAAAGUCAAAUUUUGAUA
rnacentral:misc_RNA from 1 species